GAUGAACGCUGGCGGCGUGCCUAAUACAUGCAAGUCGAGCGAAUGGAUUAAGAGCUUGCUCUUAUGAAGUUAGCGGCGGACGGGUGAGUAACGCGUGGGUAACCUGCCCAUAAGACUGGGAUAACUCCGGGAAACCGGGGCUAAUACCGGAUAACAUUUUGAACCGCAUGGUUCGAAAUUGAAAGGCGGCUUCGGCUGUCACCUAUGGAUGGACGCGCGUCGCAUUAGCUAGUUGGUGAGGUAACGGCUCACCAAGGCAACGAUGCGUAGCCGACCUGGUAGGUGGAUGGGCCACCCGGGGAGUGAGACACGGCCCAGACUCCUACGGGAGGCAGCAGUAGGGAAUCUGCCGCGAUGGACGAAAGUCUGACGGAGCAACGCCGCGUGAGUGAUGAAGGCUUUCGGGUCGUAAAACUCUGUUGUUAGGGAAGAACAAGUGCUAGUUGAAUAAGCUGGCACCUUGACGGUACCUAACCAGAAAGCCACGGCUAACUACGUGCCAGCCGCCGCGGUAA
rnacentral:rRNA from 1 species